rnacentral:SRP_RNA from 1 species
AAUCGGGUCCCUAGCGGCGAAGGUCGCUGAACCGUGUCAGGUCCGGAAGGAAGCAGCACUAAGGCGAUCCCUUCGGGUGACUAGGAUCAUCUGGUUGAC